AUUGAACGCUGGCGGCAGGCCUAACACAUGCAAGUCGAGCGGAUGAAGGGAGCUUGCUCCUGGAUUCAGCGGCGGACGGGUGAGUAAUGCCUAGGAAUCUGCCUGGUAGUGGGGGAUAACGUCCGGAAACGGGCGCUAAUACCGCAUACGUCCUGAGGGAGAAAGUGGGGGAUCUUUGGACCUCACGCUAUCAGAUGAGCCUAGGUCGGAUUAGUUAGUUGGUGGGGUAAAGGCCUACCAAGGCGACGAUCCGUAACUGGUCUGAGAGGAUGAUCAGUCACACUGGAACUGAGACACGGUCCAGACUCCUACGGGAGGCAGCAGUGGGGAAUAUUGGACAAUGGGCGAAAGCCUGAUCCAGCCAUGCCGCGUGUGUGAAGAAGGUCUUCGGAUUGUAAAGCACUUUAAGUUGGGAGGAAGGGCAGUAAGUUAAUACCUUGCUGUUUUGACGUUACCAACAGAAUAAGCACCGGCUAACUUCGUG
rnacentral:rRNA from 1 species